rnacentral:rRNA from 1 species
GACGAACGCUGGCGGCGUGCCUAAUACAUGCAAGUCGAGCGAAGUUUUUCCGGUGCUUGCACCGGAAAAACUUAGCGGCGAACGGGUGAGUAACACGUAAAGAACCUGCCUCAUAGACUGGGACAACUAUUGGAAACGAUAGCUAAUACCGGAUAAUAGCAUUAACUGCAUGGUUGAUGUUUAAAAGUUGGUUUUGCUAACACUAUGAGAUGGCUUUGCGGUGCAUUAGCUAGUUGGUGGGGUAAAGGCCUACUAAGGCGACGAUGCAUAGCCGACCUGAGAGGGUGAUCGGCCACACUGGGACUGAGACACGGCCCAGACUCCUACGGGAGGCAGCAGUAGGGAAUCUUCCGCAAUGGGCGAAAGCCUGACGGAGCAACGCCGCGUGAGUGAAGAAGGAUUUCGGUUCGUAAAGCUCUGUUGUUAGGGAAGAAUGAUUGUGUAGUAACUAUACACAGUAGAGACGGUACCUAACCAGAAAGCCACGGCUAACUACGUG